AUCCAGCUGUGUCCCAAAUAGGACGUAACACGCGUCCUGGAU
rfam:Schistosoma haematobium scaffold1455_1, whole genome shotgun sequence.